rnacentral:rRNA from 1 species
CAGUCGCCACGGUAAUACAGAGGGUGCAAGCGUUAAUCGGAAUUACUGGGCGUAAAGCGCGCGUAGGUGGUUUGUUAAGUUGGAUGUGAAAUCCCCGGGCUCAACCUGGGAACUGCAUCCAAAACUGGCAAGCUAGAGUAUGUUAGAGGGUGGUGGAAUUUCCUGUGUAGCGGUGAAAUGCGUAGAUAUAGGAAGGAACACCAGUGGCGAAGGCGACCACCUGGACUGAUACUGACACUGAGGUGCGAAAGCGUGGGGAGCAAACAGGAUUAGAGACCCCGGUAGUCCCUGUCUCUUAUAC